rnacentral:lncRNA from 1 species
UCUUUUUAUCUUUCAAUUAAACGCAUGCGGAAGCGAAUCAAAUAAACACCCAGUCAAUAAACAAACAACAAAAAUAGUAAAAUACAACAAAUAUUGCCAAAAACAACAUAUUUAUUUAUCUACCAUUACCCCUAGGAAGUUUAAUAAUUACAAGUCUUUCUACGGCCACUUCUUAUUGACCCUCACAAAAACUUCAGAAAUUAGGGUUAACCUAAACUUCACUAACGGCAGAACUAGCCAAAAAAUGUCGUAUCUCGCGCCCACCACAUCUACACUUAGCAAAUCUCCCGCUACGGCCCUGAAAAUGGUUAACAACAACGGGGCGAGAUAAAAUCUCAGCGAGUCAACUUCCUAAGCCUUGAUUAGGAUGCAAAUUCGUCUCGGAAGCAACCUAAUCAUGCAACGACAUACAAUCUUACCUCACCUUGGCACACCCCUACAUAUUAGUACAUCACAUAUGCCAUUAUAAACACAAUAAGCAUAAUCAAUAAUCAAAACACAUAACUCUCAUACACCAAGUAUCCACACGGGUCUCGAUUAGGUCCCAAUUAUAAGAUAAAAACCCAUUUUGGCACAUCUCAUACCAUGCCUAACAGUUUUACGCCUCGAGGCACGGCCAACACACGAGUUGGCGGUCUUCCGGCAUGACUAGGCAUCAUCUCGUCCUGUCCCAUCGGGCACGGCAUCGUCUAGAACCCUCGGCUAGACGGCAUUCCAUAAAUGAGCAUCGGUCCGGCCUCAACUGCGACUCGGCAUCCGGACCUCGCUAGGCAUCCAAUAAACAUCGGGCAUCGUCCCCAAACUCGGAUUCCUGUUGGCUGACGGGUUCAAUUAAAUGACCACACAAGCACGCCAACCGUCAAGUCAAUUUUUAUCUUCCGUCAAUUAGCCCAGUGUAAAAGAGUUCGUGCUUAAAUAACAAAUUACAAAAAAUCUUUACAUUUAAAUUCCGGUAAAAUAAUAACACGUGAUCACGUAUUUAAAAUCAACCAAUCAAACUUUUCACACUAUCAUUUUAAAACAUCAUUGCCCCUUUUAUUACGUAAAAUACGGCGUCUAAACACGAAACCUCAAAGUUUGUUAUUUUCUUACCAAUAAACCAUUUUUGAAAAAUAACAUUUAAAAUACAUUAUAUGAGCAAUCAAACAUCAUGGCAUUACAUGCUUAAAUGAUCAUAAUUAAGUGUAAAUUUAUCCCGAGCAUAAAAUUUUA